UACGAAGGGGGCUAGCGUUGUUCGGAUUUACUGGGCGUAAAGCGCACGUAGGCGGAUUGUUAAGUCAGGGGUGAAAUCCCGGAGCUCAACUCCGGAACUGCCUUUGAUACUGGCAAUCUAGAGUCCGGAAGAGGUGAGUGGAACUCCUAGUGUAGAGGUGGAAUUCGUAGAUAUUCGCAAGAACACCAGUGGCGAAGGCGGCCAACUGGACCAAUACUGACGCUGAGGCGCGAAAGCGUGGGGAGCAAACAGGG
rnacentral:rRNA from 1 species